CUGAUUUAAUGUAUUCCAUUUAUUCUUUUUUUGGUAUAGAUCAUGUACUUGGAACCAGCAACAAACAACCAUUCAAGCACCACCUUAUAAUUAUUUCUCCAGUCUGUUCAAAAGUAUGGCUAGCAUUCAAGAAUGUCAGCGGCAAGUUCGCCAUACAGCAGGCCUGCGCCCACCCGGAUCACCUGUGUGGACAAUCGGACAAACCGUCGGGCUAAAUCAUACAAGGUGUCCAUGGGGACUGAUGGAGAGGUCCCCAUCAGAGACCUGUCUCUCUGGUGUGGCCAGAAGGUUUUGGAGGUGUCCUUCUGGCGUGAUGAGGCCCUGGUCCAGCUCAGCCUGGGGGAUCAUGUUGAGAUUUCGUGCCUCAGGGCGAGUCUCAGACCUUCUCCCAAGCUGAACUCAUACAGCUAUUCAGCUGUUUAGAAGACUAUAGCUGAAGCAGUUGAGGUGGAGCUCAACAUCAUUAGGGUCUCGGAUGGAGAUGGAGAGACAGUUCUGCUGUCCGACACCUAUGAAGAAUACACGGUCCCUGCAGCGCUAAUGCUCGACAUCACUGCUGAUGACUUACCAAUAUAAAUUACACUAGCUCACAAAAAUAAAAUGGUUCAGAGUAUUGAACCAUUGGGGGAGAUGUUGGAGGAAAUGUUCCAAUCAAUUUGACU